AGUGAACGCUGGCGGUAGGCCUAACACAUGCCAGUCGAACGGCAGCACAGUAAGAGCUUGCUCUUACGGGUGGCGAGUGGCGGACGGGUGAGGAAUACAUCGGAAUCUACUUUUUCGUGGGGGAUAACGUAGGGAAACUUACGCUAAUACCGCAUACGACCUACGGGUGAAAGCAGGGGAUUUUCGGACCUUGCGCGAUUGAAUGAGCCGAUGUCGGAUUAGCUAGUUGGCGGGGUAAAGGCCCACCAAGGCGACGAUCCGUAGCUGGUCUGAGAGGAUGAUCAGCCACACUGGAACUGAGACACGGUCCAGACUCCUACGGGAGGCAGCAGUGGGGAAUAUUGGACAAUGGGCGCAAGCCUGAUCCAGCCAUACCGCGUGGGUGAAGAAGGCCUUCGGGUUGUAAAGCCCUUUUGUUGGGAAAGAAAAGCAGCAGGUUAAUACCCCGCUGUUCUGACGGUACCCAAAGAAUAAGCACCGGCUAACUUCGUG
rnacentral:rRNA from 1 species